UUUUCUGAGACUUGAUUUGAACUUGGGCCCUCCCGACUUCUAAACCAGUGCUCUACCUACUAUACCGCCUAACUGAGGGUGAGGAGGAAAGACUGGAAAGGAUGAUGGAGAGACAAGGUCUUUGAGCUGAAGGUGUGUGUGGGAAACAAUGCUGCUGACAGACAGAUAUCAUGCCCCCACCCCAUUGAAGUUCCUCCUGGCGGGAGCCCAGUUUUCUCUUUACUUCGUGGAGGAGCUUGGUGCCUUGAAACCCGCUACCACGACCGUCAAACUUCACCACGAUGGCGCUG